rnacentral:rRNA from 1 species
AUGGGAACGCGAAGAACCUUACCUAGACUUGACAUCUUCUGCAUUAAUCGUAAUGGAUGAAAUCCCUUCGGGGACAGAAUGACAGGUGGUGCAUGGUUGUCGUCAGCUCGUGUCGUGAGAUGUUGGGUUAAGUCCCGCAACGAGCGCAACCCCUAUUAUUAGUUGCUAACAUUAAGUUGAGCACUCUAGUGAGACUGCCCGGGUUAACCGGGAGGAAGGUGGGGAUGACGUCAAAUCAUCAUGCCCCUUAUGUCUAGGGCUACACAUGUGCUACAAUGGUGGGAACAAAGAGAUGCAAGACCGCGAGGUGGAGCUAAACUCAAAACCCCAUCCCAGUUCGGAUUGUAGGCUGAAACUCGCCUACAUGAAGCUGGAGUUGCUAGUAAUCGCGAAUCAGAAUGUCGCGGUGAAUACGUUCCCGGGUCUUGUACACACCG